rnacentral:rRNA from 1 species
AACGCGAAGAACCUUACCAGGGCUUGACAUCCCGCUGACCCUCCUAGAGAUAGGAGCUCCCUUCGGGGCAGCGGUGACAGGUGGUGCAUGGUUGUCGUCAGCUCGUGUCGUGAGAUGUUGGGUUAAGUCCCGCAACGAGCGCAACCCUUGUCCUUAGUUGCCAGCAUUGAGUUGGGCACUCUAGGGAGACUGCCGUCGACAAGACGGAGGAAGGUGGGGAUGACGUCAAAUCAUCAUGCCCCUUAUGUCCUGGGCUACACACGUGCUACAAUGGAUGGAACAACGGGCAGCCAACUCGCGAGAGUGAGCGAAUCCCUUAAAACCAUUCUCAGUUCGGAUUGCAGGCUGCAACUCGCCUGCAUGAAGCCGGAAUCGCUAGUAAUCGCGGAUCAGCAUGCCGCGGUGAAUACGUUCCCGGGCCUUGUACACACCGUAGUAC